AUGUCCCGAAAUGGCGAAGAGCACACAAUUGCAGAUGUACAUUUCCCAGACAUGGAGUCACACGCACCUGACAAGACAGAGUGUGUGCACGAGCACAGCUCAACCGUGCAGCCACAAGCGACUGAAGGCAUCAUAGUGGACAACCCCGCUUCCUCAGAAGAGCCACCAUUAGGCCAAAGAGUCCGCAGAAUGACGGAAAAGGGUCAAGAACAGCAUGAUGAGCAAGUAAUAAAGGUUGCACAUCGGUUCAGUGUGUGCUAUGAGAAGUGGAAGGAUGCCACUAAAGAAGCCAACCAAGCGCUGAGUGGAAAGUGCUCAGACGACCUGCUAGAUGGACAAAUUACUAAAGUACGCAAUACCUCUAGGAGUCUAAAUGACGUUUACGACGAUUGGAAACGCCUUGAGGUUCCUGACCUUAACACACGUCGCAAAAUCGACACCUGUGAAACAGUAACAAAGAAGAUGGUUAAGGAUGCAAUGGACCUUAUAGAUGCAAGGGAGGAAGCUACAGCCCAUAGGCAUACUACAAGUCAAAGACAUGAAGAACAUCGAGUCAUUGAAGAGGUAAUGUUUGUAGCCUCAGGAAGGACAGGCACUAGCUCUCGCCACACUAAGUGCUCCUCUGCAAGCAGGAAGAGUGCAGCUGCUGAGGUUGCUGCCAACAAAGCCACCUUAGAAGUACAGCUGGAGCAAGAGCAUUAUAUUAAAGAGCUUCAGAGACUGGAAGUUGAAGCCGCUCAGCUAAAAGCCAAACAAGAGGCUGAAAAUGCAGAGAGACAAAGAGUGCUAGAAGCCAAGCGCAGAGAACUAGAUCGAUUGGAGACUAUUAAGAAGCUAAAGGCUGCCGAGGCACGACAGCAAGUAUAUGACCAGAGUAUACAUUCAUGUCCGGCAACUAAGGGCGACGGCUCAGAUGAAGAAAUAAAUUAUCUUCUCCAUUGUGGCUCUGUGAAGAAAGAAGAGGAAGUCAAGCCUCAAACUAUAAAUGUUCUUCUCCAUCGUGUCUCUGUGAAGAAAGAAGAAGUCAAGCCUCAAACUAGCCCACUGCGGCACCAUUCUACACCACCAGCUGUAGCACAAGCAAGGCAAGAAAACAAAUAUGAAGAUGGCACAACAGCUCUCGUCAAAGCGCUCGCAGAAGCCAUCAGUGCGAGUCGCAUUCCUCUACCUGAACCUACAGUGUUCAGUGGUGACCCACUCCGAUUCAACGACUGGAAAGUGUCCUUUCAGACGCUCGUUGACAGGAAGAACAUACCAGCUGAAGAGAAGAUAUAUUAUCUACGCAAGUAUGUGGGUGGAUCUGCUAAAAGGGCCAUAGAGAGCUACUUUUUACUUGGCACAGAGCCAGCAUAUUAUGCAGCAUGGGACAUCCUAGAAGAGCGAUACGGCAAUCCAUUCCUCAUCGCCAAGGCCUUCAGAGAGAAGCUCGACGCGUGGCCCAAGAUAAGCUCCAAAGGCAGUAUGGAACUUCAAGAACUCGCCGACUUCCUGCGCUGCUGUGAGGCAGCCAUGUCUCAGAUCAGAGGUCUUGAAAUACUUAAUGAUUGCAACGAGAACCAGAAAAUUCUCUCUAAACUCCCAGACUGGGUGACUUCAAGGUGGAAUAGGAAAGUCAUAGAAGCAGAAGAAGACACUCGCAUGUUCCCGAGCUUCAGCCAGUUUGUCAAGUUUCUCACACGUGAAGCUAAAUUCGCUUGCAGCCCAAUAACAUCUCUUCAUGCUCUUAAGCCAAGUGAAAGGAUUCCAGACAAGUGUGUAAAGAGCGGAGGUCCUGGAGCA
ensembl:lncRNA